rnacentral:misc_RNA from 1 species
AAGAGAUUGGAGUGAUGAGGAGUAGAGAGGCAACAAUGAUGCCUAAGGUGGUACAAGUGGACAAUGUCAUAGCUGUGGCCUUUUAGUGUUAAAUUAAUUGCUUUGUUUUAAAUAGCAAUGGAAGUUCCAUGCAAGAGGGUGUUGUAUAAAUAGACUUGAUUUGUCCAAGUUUAGAGGUGGAUAGCUCAAAAUCCAAGUAGACACGUGGAGAAGGAUCAGGAUGAGGCGUUUCUCCCCUUGAAUGGAAUUUGUCUUGCAAUUUCCAUGGCUAACAAACACUCAUCAAUAGCUAUUGAUAUU